rnacentral:tRNA from 2 species
CGGGGUGUAGCGCAGCUUGGUAGCGCAUCUGCUUUGGGAGCAGAGGGUCGCAGGUUCGAAUCCUGUCACCCCGA